AUCAAUGAGGUGUAGUGGAGCUGAGAGCCUGAGACCCUAUUUAAUAGGGAGAACCCCUCAGUGAAGCUACAUUCAUAUGAUAUUACUGGAUUCAACUGAGGU